CCUGGUUCCUGAGCUUAGCUCUCCAGCCAGCCCGAGGAGUCUGUGAGCUUUCUGUUGCUUUCAACGAAGAACCCUGACAAUAAACAGAGACAAGUCAGCAUCAUGGAGAUAGAGAGGAGCUGGGACCUGGACGUGGAUACAUAGGCAGUUGGGCAACAGUGAUUCUGUGAGACAGAUGCUCAGAUGAGAGACCAACGUCCCUGCCUCCAUCCCUGAGUUUUUAUUACUUCCUUUAAGUAACCUUCGCCCCCCAGUUCAACCCUAAACUCAUCAACUCUCCAAGGAGAAGAAUAGGAGUUACUCUAUGAAGCAUUUGUAAGGAAGCCCUGGUGGGGCAGAGAGGCGUGUGGACUUGAGAAGCAGACCCACGUGGAUUCCACCACAGCCUGGUCUCAUACUAGCUGUGUGCGAUCUCAGCCAUUGUAUCUGUCACCAGCUACCGUGUAACAAGCCGCCACAAAACUCAGCGAGUUAAAACAACAAC